GCGGCCGUGUCGGAACUGGCAUACGAGCGGCGCUUAGAACGCCGUGGGAGAGAUCCCUUGUGGGUUCGAACCCCACCGGCCGCA
rnacentral:tRNA from 1 species